CCUACGGGAGGCAGCAGUAGGGAAUAUUGCUCAAUGGGGGAAACCCUGAAGCAGCAACGCCGCGUGGAGGAUGAAGGUUUUCGGAUUGUAAACUCCUUUUGUUAGAGAAGAUAAUGACGGUAUCUAACGAAUAAGCACCGGCUAACUCCGUGCCAGCAGCCGCGGUAAUACGGAGGGUGCAAGCGUUACUCGGAAUCACUGGGCGUAAAGAGCGCGGAGGCGGGAUAGCAAGUCAGAUGUGAAAUCCUAGGGCUUAACCAUAGAACUGCAUUUGAAACUGGUAUUCUAGAGUAUGGGAGAGGUAGGUGGAAUUCGUGGUGUAGGGGUAAAAUCCGUAGAGAUCAAGAGGAAUACUCAUUGCGAAGGCGACCUGCUAGAACAUAACUGACGCUGAUGCGCGAAAGCGUGGGGAGCAAACAGGAUUAGAUACCCGGGUAGUC
rnacentral:rRNA from 1 species